AGAGUUUGAUCCUGGCUCAGAACGAACGCUGGCGGCAGGCCUAACACAUGCAAGUCGAGCGCCCCGCAAGGGGAGCGGCGGACGGGUGAGUAACGCGUGGGAACGUACCCUUUGCUACGGAAUAGCCUCGGGAAACUGGGAGUAAUACCGUAUGUGCCCUUCGGGGGAAAGAUUUAUCGGUAAAGGAUGAGCCCGCGUCUGAUUAGCUAGUUGGUGGGGUAACGGCCUACCAAAGCGACGAUCCAUAGCUGGUCUGAGAGGAUGAUCAGCCACACUGGGACUGAGACACGGCCCAAACUCCUACGGGAGGCAGCAGUGGGGGAUAUUGCACAAUGGGGGAAACCCUGAUGCAGCGACGCCGCGUGAGUGAAGAAGUAUUUCGGUAUGUAAAGCUCUAUCAGCAGGGAAGAAAAUGACGGUACCUGACUAAGAAGCCCCGGCUAACUACGUGCCAGCAGCCGCGGUA
rnacentral:rRNA from 1 species